GAGUUUGAUACGUGGCUCAGAAUGAACGCUGGCGGCAUGCCUAACACAUGCAAGUCGAACGAGACCUUCGGGUCUAGUGGCGCACGGGUGCGUAACGCGUGGGAAUCUGCCCUUGGGUUCGGAAUAACAGCGAGAAAUUGCUGCUAAUACCGGAUGAUGUCUUCGGACCAAAGAUUUAUCGCCCAGGGAUGAGCCCGCGUAGGAUUAGCUAGUUGGUGUGGUAAAGGCGCACCAAGGCGACGAUCCUUAGCUGGUCUGAGAGGAUGAUCAGCCACACUGGGACUGAGACACGGCCCAGACUCCUACGGGAGGCAGCAGUGGGGAAUAUUGGACAAUGGGCGCAAGCCUGAUCCAGCAAUGCCGCGUGAGUGAUGAAGGCCUUAGGGUUGUAAAGCUCUUUUUACCCGGGAUGAUAAUGACAGUACCGGGAGAAUAAGCUCCGGCUAACUCCGUGCCAGCCGCCGCCGUUAAG
rnacentral:rRNA from 1 species